UAUAUUUUACAUUUAAAAAAAGUAACUAUUGGAUAAAAAAACUUUGUACACGAAAACUCUUUGUGUAAACAAGGGCUUUGCACAGUGCUGAUUGUUAACUGCUAGAUUACAAUGUGGGAAUAUAUUCUCCUCUUCCUCAUUCCUCAGUGUUUUGGGAGAGAUGAAAGAUUCAGAUCUUACAUCUUUGUACCAAGAGAAGUAAGUCUGGAGUUCUGGAUUUCUAACAGUGUUACUAGUGCACACAGGUUCAGAACAGAGAUUCAGAAUGGUGAACUAAUGAUGGAGCCCACUAUCUAAAUAAUGGAGCCUGAAAUCCUAAUGAUAAAGAUCGAAUGGAGUCGACGUAUACCGUCCUUAUUGUGGAAUUGAGCCUAAUUUCCCGACAAAAUAGCUACUAACCUAAUACUGGAGCCUACUCACCUAAUCAUGGAGCCUACGAACAUAAAAAUGGAGCUACUAACCUAAUAAUAUAGCCUGCUAACCUAAUAAUCAGCCUACUAACCUAAUAAUGGAGCC